GAUGAACGCUGGCGGCGUGCCUAAUACAUGCAAGUCGAGCGAACAGACGAGGAGCUUGCUCCUCUGCCGUUAGCGGCGGACGGGUGAGUAACACGUGGAUAACCUACCUAUAAUACUGGGAUAACUUCGGGAAACCGGAGCUAAUACCGGAUAAUAUAUUGAACCGCAUGGUUCAAUAGUGAAAGACGGUUUUGCUGUCACUUAUAGAUGGUUCCGCGCCGCAUUAGCUAGUUGGUAAGGUAACGGCUUACCAAGGCAACGAUGCGUAGCCGACCUGAGAGGGUGAUCGGCCACACUGGAACUGAGACACGGUCCAGACUCCUACGGGAGGCAGCAGUAGGGAAUCUUCCGCAAUGGGCGAAAGCCUGACGGAGCAACGCCGCGUGAGUGAUGAAGGUCUUCGGAUCGUAAAACUCUGUUAUUAGGGAAGAACAAAUGUGUAAGUAACUAUGCACGUCUUGACGGUACCUAAUCAGAAAGCCACGGCUAACUACGUG
rnacentral:rRNA from 1 species